rnacentral:rRNA from 1 species
AACGAACGCUGGCGGCAUGCCUAACACAUGCCAGUCGAACGAGACCUCCGGGUCUAUUGGCGCACGGGUUCGUAACGCGUGGGAACCUGCCCUUAGGUUCGGAAUAACUCCCCGAAAGGGGUGCUAAUACCUGAUAAUGUCUUCGGACCAAAGAUUUAUCGCCUUUGGAUGGGCCCGCGUUGGAUUAGCUAGUUGGUAGUGUAAAAGCCUACCAAGGCGACGAUCCAUAGCUGGUCUGAGAGGAUGAGCAGCCACACUGGGGCUGGGACACGGCCCAGACUCCUACGGGAGGAAGCAGUGGGGAAUAUUGGAAAAUGGGCGAAGGACUGAUCCAGCAAUGCCGCGUGAGUGAUGAAGGCCUUAGGGUUGUAAAGCUCUUUUAGCCGGGAUGAUAAUGACAGUACCGGGAGAAUAAGCUCCGGCUAACUCCGUG